rnacentral:rRNA from 1 species
AUUGAACGCUGGCGGCAUGCUUUACACAUGCAAGUCGAACGGUAACAGGCCGCAAGGUGCUGACGAGUGGCGAACGGGUGAGUAAUGCAUCGGAACGUGCCCAGUCGUGGGGGAUAACGCAGCGAAAGCUGCGCUAAUACCGCAUACGAUCUAUGGAUGAAAGCGGGGGACCGUAAGGCCUCGCGCGAUUGGAGCGGCCGAUGUCAGAUUAGGGAGUUGGUGGGGUAAAGGCUCACCAAGCCAACGAUCUGUAGCUGGUCUGAGAGGACGACCAGCCACACUGGGACAGAGACACGGCCCAGACUCCUACGGGAGGCAGCAGUGGGGAAUUUUGGACAAUGGGCGCAAGCCUGAUUCAGCAAUGCCGCGUGCAGGAAGAAGGCCUUCGGGUUGUAAACUGCUUUUGUACGGAACGAAACGGUCCUGGUUAAUACCCGGGGCUAAUGACGGUACCGUAAGAAUAAGCACCGGCUAACUACGUGCCAGCCGCCGCCGUAAUAC